CGUGGAGCGAUUUGUCUGGUUUAUUCCGAUAACGAGCGAGACUCUAGCCUGCUAAAUAGUCCAGUCAUCCCGCAACAGUGACUGCCGACUUCUUAGAGGGAUCAUCGGCGUUCAGCCGCACGAGAUUGAGCAAUAACAGGUCUGUGAUGCCCUUAGAUGUCCGGGGCUGCACGCGCGCUACACUGGCGAAGGCAGCGUGCCUGUCCUUUCCCGAAAGGGAUGGGUAAACCAUUGAAAAUUCGCCGUGAUUGGGAUCGGAAAUUGCAAUUAUUUUCCGUGAACGAGGAAUUCCAAGUAAGUGCGAGUCAUCAACUCGCGUUGAUUACGUCCCUGCCCUUUGUA
rnacentral:rRNA from 1 species